GCUUUCACUCCUACGGGAGGCAGCAGUGGGGAAUAUUGCACAAUGGGCGCAAGCCUGAUGCAGCCAUGCCGCGUGUAUGAAGAAGGCCUUCGGGUUGUAAAGUACUUUCAGCAGUGAGGAAGGUGGUAGUGUUAAUAGCACUAUCAUUUUGACGUUAGCUGCAGAAGAAGCACCGGCUAACUCCGUGCCAGCAGCCGCGGUAAUACGGAGGGUGCGAGCGUUAAUCGGAAUUACUGGGCGUAAAGCGCAUGCAGGUGGUUUGUUAAGUCAGAUGUGAAAGCCCGGGGCUCAACCUCGGAAUUGCAUUUGAAACUGGCAGACUAGAGUACUGUAGAGGGGGUAGAAUUUCAGGUGUAGCGGUGAAAAUGCGUAGAGAUCUGAAGGAAUACCGGUGGCGAAGGCGGCCCCCUGGACAGAUACUGACACUCAGAUGCGAAAGCGUGGGGAGCAAACAGGAUUAGAUACCCUGGUAG
rnacentral:rRNA from 1 species